AUAGUGAACUGCGGGAGGAUUAUUG
rnacentral:rRNA from 1 species